GGCAUGUGUGAAACCCAUCUGUAGUCUGUCCUCUUAUCCCAAAUUCCCAUUGUCUGGGUUUUGCCUCUUGCCUGUUCUGUCCCAUGCUUGGCUCUGCCUGCUUUCCCAGGGCAGAUUUUCUGGGGAAGGUCACAUUAAUGGGCAAAAACACCAGCUUUCCCUGUGGUCACUCCAGUUCAGCAAUAACCUUGGCUUCACUUUGCACAGGAGGGGAGAAAGGAAAGAGGAGAUGAGUGGCUGGUGCUUGUGUGUGUUAUCCCAGUAUGUCUGUUAAUAUCUUCCCCCUCAGCUGGGGCAGGCUACAACCAUCCAGGCUGUGGAGAUACCUGUGCAUGGCUGAGCUUCUCGCUGAGGAAUUGGCUCCUCGGCAGUGACAUCGAGCCUACGGCUGCAGUUAUGAGAUGCAGCAAGUUUCAUCUUCCUUCUUCACAGUGAAACUUUGAUGUUUUAAUUACAGAAUGACAGAAGGGGAUUGGGCUAAAAGGGACAUUAAAGCCCAUUCUGUGCAUUGGAGUAGAGCUUUAAGGUGCUACUAGCUCAAACCAUUCCAUGAUUAUGUGAUACUGGCCAAAGCUGCUUGGGAGUGCCUGGCCCUCGGAGCUCCCAUCCAUGUCAGCCCACACUGAUCCCACCUGAUGGCAUUGCUCCCUAUCAUCCUGCUGAGCUCUUACACCUGGCACCGUGGGUGGCAGGGUGCCAUGGAACUUGCUCUGGUUCCCAGCUUUAAGCCCUGUUUUCUGCCAAACGCUCGUUCCCAGCGAGACCAAGCCUGGCGCGUUGCCUCCCGCUGUCGUGUAAUUCCUCCGCAGGUGCUGGAGCCCAGCCUGGCUGCUGCUAUCUGAUGGGACCACUCCUGCUGUGCUCUCCACCCUCCUAAGCAAAAACUGCAGCUACAAAUGAGACUUCAAUUUUCCAUGCCUGAGAAAGCUUUGUCUCAAUUAGCUCAGUGCUGAGCAUCUUCAAAGGCAGCUGGGUUUGGAAUUUAAGAUGGGCGCUGCCCUCAUUCCUCCACCUGCUCCUGGAGCAGGGAGCACUACUAAGAACCAGCUCCUGGGGCAAUGUCACAGUGCCAGGGUGGCACAGCAGUGCCCCUCUGCAGACCAGGGGAUGGGAUUUAACCAGCUGCUGAUGCACAGGUGUGCUCUUUUCUGCUUCCUCUCCUGCCUACGAGAAGGUGGCUGCUCCAAGCAUUGCUGCAUGCUGUGGAAGUAGAUUUCCUUUUUGGGAACCAAAUGCUUUGGUAGAAAGCUCGCAGGACAGUUUCUGGUCUAUAAAAGGAGUUGAUGCAUGCAAAAGAAAAAAGUACAAAAUGGUGCUUAUAUACAGCAGGCAUGAACUGUGCAGUCCUGGCAGGGUCUACAGCAGCUCCCAGGACUUUCCUUUCACCUCUGGGUGUUUUGGGAGACAAGGUCAGUUGGUUUUAUGUCACAAAAGGUGAGGGUAUCAGAAACUGGGCUGGGAUUUGCCAUUAGGACACAGACUCCAUUUAAUGCUUUUCUCUGCUUACGGAAGAGACUCAAGGCUGAAGGAGAAAGGAACGUUAUUAAAUCAAUUUCCAAUUUUACCUUUGGAUAUGGGUAAAAAUCAAGCUCCCAUUGCCUUCCAGGCAGCUGAAGCAGUCCUGGAAGUCAGGCUGGCAUGGGCAGGGACUGCACCUUCAGUGAGGAAGGGAAACCAAAGCCACCAUGGGCUCUGAGGGGUCUCAAAUCCCCUCUGACUUCUCCCUGAGGUGUUUGUUGUGAGCCAAGAGAACUCUGCAGGGAGGUGAGGGGCUCAGGAGCGAGGCAUUAAAGCUGCUGCUCUGAUUGCUGCUCCUGGUCACAGGCUGGGUUGUGCCAGGUUGUGAGCUGGUGCUGCAGGCAGGAUCAGGGAUGUGAGCAGACCCUCCUGCCAGUGCAUUUUUGGCUUUGUCAGUGCAGUAAUUCAGGAGAUGGGGCCCUUGCUGCUCCCAGCAGUCCCUGUGAUGUCACACGGAAGGUGUUGCUCCCCAGGUAGUGAUGGAGAGGAGCGGGGUGGAGGGCUGUGUUCAGUGCUGUGGGUUUGGCACAGUGCACCAGUCCCUGGGCUUUCCUGGCACAACCACCCCUGUUUCUCCUGGCCAUGCUGACUUCCAUCCCACAUCCACCUCUGGAGUCCCUGUGGAGCUGGUUUUCCCUGUGGUGUCUGCCCAUAUGCAGCAUUUUGGCAAGGAGGCAGCUUUAACUGGACAGCCGCUUCCUCGAGGAGCUUAAUGUUCAAUGGGCUCUGCUGGCAGGAGCUUUUAUGAGCAGCAAGGGGAAAACGACUUUGAGACCCAAUAAAGACUUCUCCUGGUGUG
rnacentral:lncRNA from 1 species